AUCGAAAGCUUGCUUUUGAUGGGCGUCGACCGGCGCACGGGUGAGUAACGCGUAUCCAACCUGCCCACCACUUGGGGAUAACCUUGCGAAAGUAAGACUAAUACCCAAUGACGUCUCUAGAAGACAUCUGAAAGAGAUUAAAGAUUUAUCGGUGAUGGAUGGGGAUGCGUCUGAUUAGCUAGUUGGCAGGGCAGCGGCCUACCAAGGCGACGAUCAGUAGGGGUUCUGAGAGGAAGGUCCCCACAUUGGAACUGAGACACGGUCCAAACUCC
rnacentral:rRNA from 1 species